rnacentral:lncRNA from 1 species
UGCCUAUUUAUCUAGAAUCUUAGCAGAUUUCGUACUAUAGGAGAUUGAUUGUAGUAAUUUCAGAAUAUAUAUGUAUAUAUAUAGACAGCAAUAUAUACACACACACACACAAAUAUACCUCACAUGAUAGAUCACGUGACUGACAGCCUUAAAGUGAAACCGAACUUUAUGGCCACGGUCAAGUCCACGACACUAGAAGACGAACCACAACUGAGACAGGGUCAGUUGUCCACGUGGCACGGCACGUGCAUAGUAAGCCAAGCGUGUAAAAGUUUUUAGACAUUAUAAUUUACAAAUACAAAAAAAAAAAAAUCUCAAAAUCAAAAAGCAAAUAUUUCACGUGCGAUCGCCCACGCUCACAUGGCAACUAGGAGGAGGCAAACUUUAUGUUCCGACCUUCCCCCUCUCUCCCCCCCCCCC